UCCCUUGUCAAAGAUAAGUG
rnacentral:misc_RNA from 1 species